rnacentral:lncRNA from 1 species
CUCCCUUGUCCCUGAGGACGCCUUCUCCUCGUGCCCAUCACACUCCACUCUUCCCAGGAUUAGAGGAACCAGCCUCAAUGUCUGGACUCACCAACAUCCUGUCAAGAUAUUUAAAAAUGAAUCUCAAAGGACUUGGAGCCUUCACAUAACAACUACAACAGCAACAACAACAAUGAUUACAAAAGGAUGAUCUCCAUCUCUUAGUGACAUUUAGCUGUUUCCAAGAGGAAUACUGGACAGAAUGUUGGAAGGUAUGUUUCCUCUGUCCCUAUACUUGGAAGAGUUUUUUUUUUUUUAAUGAUUUUUAUUUUAUUUUAUUUAUUUGUCAGAGAGAGAGAGAGAGUGAGCACAGGCAGACAGAAUGGCAGGCAGAGGCAGAGAGAG